rnacentral:tRNA from 2 species
GUGACCAUCGUUCAGUGGUAGGACUCCGGGUUGUGUCCCCGGUAGCGAGGGUUCGAUUCCCUCUGGUCACCCCA